rnacentral:tRNA from 1 species
AAGCGAGAAGCAAACAUUGCAGUCAGUUUCGACCUGAUCUUAGAUGAAACUUUCAUCCCCGCUUU